AACCCAGUCAGAUGGGCAGCAUAUCAACAAUAAAGUGUUGUUAUAAAAUUACCUACAAUUCUAAGACUCUUCUGCAAUUUUCUUGUAUUAUGACAGAAUAAUUAUUUCAUUAAUAUCUUUUCCAUUAAAAUAUAGAAUUAUGGAGCAUUCCUCAAGGAUAAUAUGGUGUACUGUAAAGAUCUGAUCGUCAAUGAAAUAUAGAAACUCAUGUGCUUUGGUUUGCAUUUCAAGAUAUAGAUGUAUGUAUAAGUUGGCUAAUACUGUCUUUUAAUGGUGUAUCUAGGCACAUUCUGAAUACAGUGGUACCUCGGUUUAAGAACAGUCCGGUGUAAGAACGAUUUAGUUUACAAAAUCCACAAAACCGGAAAUAGUGUCUCGGUUUGUGAACUUUACCUCGGUCUAAGAACGGAAGCCGAACAGUGGAAGGGCACCGGCGGCAGGAGGCCUGAUUAGGGAAAGCGCACCUCAGUUUAAGAACUGUUUCAGUUUAAGAAUGGACUUACGGAACGGAUUAAGUUCGUAAACCGAGGUACCACUGUAGUAUGGAUAGGACGUAUAUUUCUUUUUACUGCUGGCUGAAAUGACCAGGAUGGUUGCAACAACAAAUAAACUUUGACAGCCAGCUAUAUAGAAUGAGACUUUUUCAUUUUACAUAAUUUGUGCUUGUCUAGAGAUACUGAAGUGGACAAAUAUGAAAAACAAGGGAUCUUGUAAUGUAUUGGGGUGUGUGCAUAAUACAACCCAGUUCCUUGUUUGUCAUCUUUCAUCAAUAGUAUCUAGUACACAAGGAAACAGCAGGUCCAGAAAGGAAUGGGCUAGCAUUCAAAGAAAGCAUCUUUUGUAAACACCCAAGUGUUGAAUACCUGAAAAAUACUGAUCACAGCUGGCACAAAAUCACAGCAACAAAAUGUCUCAUGAUUGCCAUGAGCCUAGUUAAGUAUCGGUUUGCUUUUUGCUGCUUUCAUAAUGUAUUCACAAAUUGGCUUUCCAGAUGAUAUUUUGCAAACCAGUUCUAUAUACAGUUAGGAAACAGGUUUCAUUUUUAAUCUAGGCAGAUCGAUCUUAACUUUGCAGCAGAGCCAGUUAUUUAAAACCACAAUCUCUUUAUAUCCCUCUCAGCACUGAGGGUUCUUUGAAUAUUUAAAGAUAGCGUACCCGCCUGGCACAACUCUGCUAUUUCAGAAUUCUUGUUAACAGAAUCUGAAAAUCUGUUUAAUGUAUGCAGGUACCGUUAACAAGCAAAUUGUGUAGUAGUCAGUAACAUUUAGAUCUAAAUCUGUGGCCAGAUUCCGACACCUACUGAGGUGGAGCAAAUGUCUGUUCCCUUCACCGCGUAGUCUAUAUGGACUAACUGACACACAUCUUUAUCCUUAAAAAAGAAAAAGUGGGAUGAUCACCCAUACAGUGUGUUUGGGCCAAUGUGCAUGGAGUCUGCAUCUAAUACUACGGUGGUACCUCAGGUUACAUACGCUUCAGGUUACAGACUCCGCUAACCCAGAAAUAGUGCUUCAGGUUAAGAACUUUGCUUCAGGAUGAGAACAGAAAUCAUGCUCCGGCGGCAUGGCAGCAGCAGGAGGCCCCAUUAGCUAAAGUGGUGCUUCAGGUUAAGAACAGUUUCAGGUUAAAUGCGGAUCUCCGGAAAGAAUUAAGUACUUAACCCGAGGUACCACUGUACUUUGUGUUGGAUGGACUGCACACCUUCAUCACUACUGUGAGAGUUGCAGAAGCAGUUUGGUUAGUUUCUGAACCAGGCUAUUGAAUAUCACUACCUGAUAAGACUGCACCUCUUUUUCUAUUAUAACCACCACAAAAUCCCCUAUCAAUCAAUGCUUGGGGUUAUGGGUAGUUUUUAUUUUUAAGCUUGUUAUCUCAGGAUUUUGUUUCUCUCCUCCAUUCAGUAAAUAAUUCAGUUGAGUGACCUUUUUAGCAUGGAGUAUGAUUUCUAAAGAUUCCCCCCCCAUUAAGGAAAGCUGGGGGCAGGGAGUCUACCAGUCAGUGCAGUUUGGUGAAAUUAUUUUUGAAAUUCGCAGUAUGCAAAUAAUACACAAGUAGUCAAGGAGACUGCUUCUGUUUCCAUAAAUUCUUCAGCCUCAUUGCAUUUUUAUGUAUAUCUAAUGAUCUUGAGCUACAGAUAUUUGAAGUGUAAUAGCAGCGUUGCACACAACUUAAUUUUGACAGUGCUUAGUCCAAUAUCAGUUUGUCAACAAUGGUUAAAAGCAGGACUUUUUUUCAUCUGGAACUCAGUUCCAGUUCAUCUCAGGUGGACACCAUUGCUAUUAUAAGAGAACAAAGGAGGCGUUCAUUGUGAGUUCCAGCACCUCUUUUUCUAGAAAAAUUGCACUGGAAAGGAAGUCUUAUGGCUCUUUAGAGCAAGAGUGGGGGCGGUGUUGGAUUGCAGCUUCUAUCAUCCCUGACCAUUGGUCAUGCUGGCUGAAGCUGAUAGGAACUGGACUCCCAUCUUCCAUCUUGCAAGCCAUGUGUUUGUGCCUUAAAGACAAUUUUAUUUUGGCAUUAAGCUUGCACAGAUGAGAGUUUAUCCGAUGUUAGAAAUCCCCCCCCCCCCCGGAAUUGCAUGCUUUUCGUGAAGUGGCAUAUGCCAUAAUUAUUUUUCUUAGUCUUUAAGAUGCUACAAGACACUUUGUUGUUUUUGUUGCAGCAGAUUAGCAUGGUUACCCCUUGCCAUAUCUUGAAGAGCAAAAAAGAGGACAAUCCCGAAACCCAGACAUUUCCUUUAAAACAUGAAAAUCCCCCCCAGAUGGGCAUGUUGGCUCCCCCAAAAUAGGACAUGUCCGGGAUUUCCUGGAUGUAUGGCGACCCUACCCCUUUGGAAAUGGUCACAAUUGAAGCAGGCUACAAUGGUUGUUUCUUUCUUUUCAUAUGUUUUAUGUUGCCCAAAAUUGCACCAAUUGCUGCCCUUAUUAAGGCCAAGCUUAAAUUAGUGGUGACAUUCAGCAACUCUGAAGUGGGGUUACUUUUUUUGUUUUGCCCCUGCAAAAAUAGAGUCCCUGAAGCUGCUAUUAGCAUUUAAAGGCAAGCUGAUAUUGGUACUAAUAUUAACUUACGAUGGGAGUGCAUGUUGGGAGUAUAGUGCAAAGCCCCAACACUGGUUAAUACUCUGGUCCUGAUUCUAUUAGACUCAUCAGUCACAGCUGCUGUAAAAGUAUGUGAAAGAUUGAGAUUUAAAAUGCAUGAUUGCCCUGAGCAUUGCUGUGGUGCAUGUAGGGUAGAAUCCUUGUGAAACAGCAAAAUCAAAGCCAACAUAAUUUAGGAUUUGUUGACUGAAUUUAAUAAAAUGGAUCCAGUAAUUACAUAAUUUUAAUAAUGCUUGUUUUUAAAAAUUUUGUUUAGACUCCCGCAGAGUUAAAAAUAUGAACAUCUCAAGGGGGAGGAGGGAGUUAAAAUACCGGUAAUGGUACGUUAGACCUUAUUCUGCCAGCAAGCAAAAGGCUCUUGUUCUGUCCCUUGCAACUGCCAAAUAAUGAAUUUGAACAGAGCUUCUAAGGAAUUAAAAAAUCCUGCAUGAUUUCUCCACUCCCCUUCCUGCAAGUACUCACUGAAAACAGGAACAACAAAAGUCUAAACCAGAAAAACCAGCACCAAAAUUAGGGCAGAAUGCAAAAGGUGAAUGGGCUUCUGUAUACACCAUUGCUUUUUAGGAAAACCACAUUAGCAGCAUGGUGAAGCACAAGGCAAAGGAGUCUGGAAAGUUCUUUCAAUGGGAAAUGCUACCAGGCUAACCCUUGGCUAAAAGCUUUAAGGGCUGGAUAAGGCAGAAGUCAAAUAAGUAUUCUUACGUGAUCAACUAACUAAAAAUGCUUAACUUUUGUGGGUGAUGACACAGAAAAUGGUCCAAGGUCUCAUGAGACAGUUCUUGCUGAAGCUAAUCCAUUCUUUGGACCCCUCACUAAUUCAGAACUGGAAAGCCUGGUGGAGGUGUGCUCAUCUGGCAAUUGGUUUUGCACACUCGGACAUUAUAAGUGCUUUGUUCGUACAGUGACUAAGCAACUCUCAGCCAGUGCUGUCCGGUGCCCACUGAGACCACUACGAUGGAAGAUGGGAAGACCGACAGUAGAUGGAACCUGAGCCAAUGAUGGGCAGAGUCAACAAUUGUAGUUUGGGCCUCAUCAACACUAAGCUUGGGACAACAACAAAAUCCAGUCCAAAACCAGCUUAUAUUCUGGGUUGUAAGUGAUGUUGCAAUGUUUUUUAAAAUUAUUACCACCAGGGCUUUUUUUGAGCUGGAACUCAGUACGUGCAACUUUCACACAUGUGCAAGUGACUAGAAAUACCCUAAAAAGCAAGCAGACAAAACCAAACCCAAAUCAGACCUAGGAAGGUUUUAAUGCUCAUUAGCAACAGAAUGUUGACUUGGGACAGGGAAAUGGGGGGAGGGAUGAUAUGGCCACUUGAAGGUGAACAUUGCUAGAAGUUGGCAGGAACUCUGUGCGGUGUGUUGCUGUCAAGAGGUGUGAAUACGUUCUAGCAUUUUUUUGGUGUGUCUCGGUGACGUGUAAUGCAUAACAUUUGCUACGUUCUGUUCAUUUUGAGUUCUACAUGUAGCCGGUUCUUAACUAUGUUAAAAACUCUGGUUUUAUUUUUUGUUGUUUUAAACCAGCAGGGUAUGGAAGAAAAACACUUGUCUCUCAUUACUCCUGCAAUAAUAGAAGUAGAGGGUGUAUGUAUUUGUGCAAUCAUGCCCAAUCAAAGGGACAUUAUCAGAAUGGUGUUUUAAUUAUCCAGAUGAAAAAAAUGCUGUUAUCUCUUGUGCACCAAACAGUUUAAUAAAGUUCCAGAGAGGUAUUGCGU